rnacentral:lncRNA from 1 species
AUGUUUCAAAAUGUCAUUUUUCCCUUUGCAACAACAAAAGCGCGCCGCAGAGUAGGGUGCUCUCGUGGGAAGCGGCGUGAGGCAGGGCAGGGCCCAGGCCCCCGCUGCGCUGGUGCCCAGUCCUCCUCGGUCUGGCUCGGCGCCCUGCUGUCCCCAGACAGCGGGACACCCCGUCCUGCUCGUGUCGGCCGGGGAGCUGGCACGGGUGGCGGACGGCUGGGACGGUGUGGGUCACGCCUUGGGCUUGCCCUGCGGCACGUUGAGGGGUGGUACCCGGAGCUGCGACCCGGCCCCGCAAGCCCCCCGAGGCCCCGGUGGAGGGCCAGCCCGACAGACGAGCCGCGGCUCCCUGCUGCGUCCUCGCGGGCCUGCCCCACGGGCUCCGCGGUGCCACGGGUGCCGAGGCAGGAGGGACGCGGUGGGGCUGCUGGGACCGCAGCUGGGCGGCCUCGGGGAGGCCACGCGGCCCAGCUGAGCGGAGGCAGGGGUGGGCGGCGCCCGAGCGCAGGGCGACAGACGGGUGGACGGUGCCUGUGUGGAGACAGGCACAGCGCCCCGCGAGCAGCCCUGCCCACGCCGCACCCUCACUGGGCCUCGCCGGGCGUCUCCGCACACGUGCAGGGGGGGGGGGUGUGCACACGUGAGUGCACAGGUGUACCUGCGUGCAGACGGCCUGCCUCUCCGGGUGCACGCGGGCGCCUGUGCACGGCCAGCAUGCAUGGGUGUGAAUGGGGCGCACCUGCCCAGCGUGUGCGUGGGGGGCGUGAGCGUGGGGGGCUGGCGAGCGGUGCAGGAAGGCAGGGGCCAAGCCCGCAGGCAGCGAGCAGGAGGCAGGAGACCAGCUCUGCCCCCACCCACUCCCGGCUUCUCCUCGCCCCCAUCCCUCCCUCUCCUCCUGCCCCUUCCUCCUCCUCCUCCUCUGUUCCACGCUGCUCAUCGCCCUGGGAUGGCAAACCCCCGCUGGCCCCUGCCCCGGUGCCCUUGGCCAAUCCCCGUCGUCCUGGCUGCUCCAGGAGGCCGAGGGGCUGGGGGUCCGGGCAGGCCCUGUCCACAUGCCCCGUACAGCCCCCCAUGUGCGCGCCCCAUAUGCCUGCCUUGUCCAUGUGCCCCGUCUGCUUGCCCCGUCCACGUGCCCUGUCUACCUUCCCCCAUCCACCCUCCCCCAUCUACCUGCCCUGUCCACCCUCCCCCGUCCAUCGUGCCCCUUCUACCCUGUCCUAUCCGCCUGCCCUGUCCACCUGCCCCAUCCACCUGCCCUGUCCGCCAACCCCAUCCACAUCUGCCCAUCCACCUACCCCAUCUGCCCUUCCCCAUCCACCCCGCCCCGUCCACCCUGCCCCGUCCACCCCAUGCCUCGAGUGCUUCCCGUCCCCGUGUGGCCCGCGUGGCGGGGGCUGCAGGUCCCAUGUCUCUCUCCUAGGCCUCUGGGGCCCAGGUGGACGUGCCAGGCGUGAGGGGCAGUGA